CACAUUGAAUAACAGAUUCACUACAUGGAACAACAGGUAGUCCUUACUGCUGUUAGCCCAUACAAACACAUUGAAUAACAGAUUCACUACAUGGAACAACAGAUAGUCCUUACUGCUGUUAGCCCAUACAAACACAUUGAAUAACAGAUUCACUACAUGGAACAACAGGUAGUCCUUACUGCUGUUAGCCCAUACAAACACAUUGAAUAACAGAUUCACUACAUGGAACAACAGGUAGUCCUUACUGCUGUUAGCCCAUACAAACACAUUGAAUAACAGAUUCACUACAUGGAACAACAGGUAGUCCUUACUGCUGUUAGCCCAUACAAACACAUUGAAUAACAGAUUCACUACAUGGAACAACAGGUAGUCCUUACUGCUGU